AUUAAAUGGACUCAAAGGCAGUAUUUGAUAUUUCCACCA
rnacentral:tmRNA from 1 species